rnacentral:rRNA from 1 species
ACCUGACUGCUAUCGGAUUGAUACUAAGCCAUGCGAGUCAUUGUAGCAAUACAAGGCAUACGGCUCAGUAACGCGUAGUCAACCUAACCUAUGGACGGGAAUAACCUCGGGAAACUGAGAAUAAUGCCCGAUAGAACACUAUACCUGGAAUGGUUUGUGUUCCAAAUGAUUUAUCGCCAUAGGAUGGGACUGCGGCCUAUCAGUUUGUUGGUGAGGUAAUGGCCCACCAAGACUAUUACAGGUACGGGCUCUGAGAGGAGUAGCCCGGAGAUGGGUACUGAGACACGGACCCAGGCCCUAUGGGGCGCAGCAGGCGUGAAAACUUUGCAAUGUGCGAAAGCACGACAAGGUUAAUCCGAGUGAUUUGUGCUAAACGAAUCUUUUGUUAGUCCUAGAAACACUAACGAAUAAGGGGUGGGCAAGUUCUGGUGUCAGCCGCCGCGGUAAAACCAGCACCUCAAGUGGUCAGGAUGAUUAUUGGGCCUAAAGCAUCCGUAGCCGGCUCUGUAAGUUUUCGGUUAAAUCUGUACGCUUAACGUACAGGCUGCCGGGAAUACUGCAGAGCUAGGGAGUGGGAGAGGUAGACGGUACUCGGUAGGAAGUGGUAAAAUGCUUUGAUCUAUCGAUGACCACCUGUGGCGAAGGCGGUCUACCAGAACACGUCCGACGGUGAGGGAUGAAAGCUGGGGGAGCAAACCGGAUUAGAUACCCGGGUAGUCCCAGCUGUAAACUAUGCAAACUCAGUGAUGCAUUGGCUUGUGGCCAAUGCAGUGCUGCAGGGAAGCCGUUAAGUUUGCCGCCUGGGAAGUACGUACGCAAGUAUGAAACUUAAAGGAAUUGGCGGGGGAGCACCACAAGGGGUGAAGCCUGCGGUUC